GUUAAUUUUUUAGGAGAGUAUGAAAUACACUAUAAAAAGAUCCAAUCGUAUUCAAUUUUUCACAUGAAACGACGGAAACUAUGACUGAAACUCUCAAGUUUUUUUAUGCUAUGAUUCUUUUUCUUUCCUUGUUUCUUAUCACAACAAAUGUUGGUGGUUCGUAUUAUGGAUGUGAAACGGAUGCCGAUUGUCCACGGUCUAUGAACAAGGAUUUUUAUCUGAAGUGCGUUGAUAAAAAAUGUGAAUGGACUGCAAAGAUCUAAGUACAAGAUCCGAAAGAAUGCAAAAACUUUUGGUAUAGGAGAUUGACUCAUUCUGUUAGCAAAACAAAUUUGCAUUAUAUGUUAUGCUCGAAUAUUACAAGAGUUGUCAUUUAUUUAUUCUACUAGAACAAUGAUUAUAUUUAUCUUUUCCUAAAUUCAUAAACCUUGCAUUUAUGAUUCUGUACUCUAAUCUUGUUAUAAGACAUCAAAGAGUUCUAUUUGACACUCAAGUUCUCCAUGUAAGCCCAAAACUAUCGACUUUGUAGUAGAUCACCCUUUAUUAUUUUUUAUAAGAGCAGAAUUUAGUGGAACGAUACUCUUUAGUGAACAUGUGCUCAAUCCUUUUGAUGGGUGAUAGGAUUAUCUCGUCUUUACCUGCGAAAAGUUGACAGCAGUUCAUCUUCCUCAACUUUUAGUUACGUGAUCGAUUAUAUUUGUUGCAAGCAAAAUCGUGGCACAAUUCGGCAAAUCCUGGCAUGAUUUUGAAUCAACAACUUGGAGGUUUGUCACCGCAAAAAUCGUGGCACGAGAGGAUAAAAUCGUGGCACAAUUUUGGAUAAUGUUUAGUAUUGUAUUGUGUACUAACAUGAAAUCACAACACGAUUGGUGCAACUGAUCAUGGCACGAUUUGACAUGAUCUAAAACACUAUUUAAGUACUCCUUGAUCGAUUUGUUGAGUACGCUUGGUGAAUCUCAUGGAAACCAAAUGAGGGAACUUUUAGGGUAUUUAGAUAUUCUAGGUUGAGGGUCUUUAGGUGAGGUUCAAAGCUUCAUGAUGUUAUCUUAGAGAACCAAAAGAGGAGGCUCUUGGGAAAGGGUUUGUGCCUUUUGGGGAGAGAUUCAUGGGGUUAGAAAACACAUGAGUGGAGAGUAUUGUGAAAAAACUUGGUUGAGUGAAAUCAUUUAGUCUCUUAUUCAUGAGAAGAGAUUGAAAAAUGGGUAGAAUUAGGUUUGUUCUUUGUGAGCUUGUUGAAACUAAUUUAUUGUAAUCCUUUUGUAUCUAUUUGUAAAGAACUCGUUGAUAAUGAAGCAGAGAGAUCUCUCUCCCGCACAAUAGGUCAUUGUUGGACCGAACAGGGUUAACAUUUUU